rnacentral:rRNA from 1 species
UACGUAUGGUGCAAGCGUUAUCCGGAUUUACUGGGUGUAAAGGGAGCGUAGGUGGCUUGUCAAGCCAGAAGUGAAAACCCGGGGCUCAACUCCGCGGAUUGCUUUUGGAACUGAUGGGCUGGAGUGCAGGAGGGGUAAGCGGAAUUCCCAGUGUAGCGGUGAAAUGCGUAGAUAUUGGGAAGAACACCGGAGGCGAAGGCGGCUUACUGGACUGUAACUGACACUGAGGCUCGAAGGCGUGGGGA